UGUAGAAGCUGAUUGAAACGGAGAAUGGGGACCAGCCGUGGUGAUUCACGCCUGUAAUCCCCAUACUUUGGGAUGAUUGCUUGAGGCCAAGAGUUCGAGACCAGUCUGGACAACAUUCUGAGACCUUGUCGCUAUAAAAAAUGUAAAAGUCGGCCGGGCGCGGUGGCUCACGCCUGUAAUUUCAGCACUUUGGGAGGCCGAGGUGGGUGGAUCACGAGGUCAAUAGAUCGAGACCAUCCUGGUCAACAUGGUGAAACCCCGUCUCUACUAAAAAUACAAAAAAAAUUAGCUGGGCAUGGUAGCGCAUGACUGUAAUCCCAGCUACUCGGGAGGCUGAGGCAGGAGAAUUGCCUGAACCCAGGAGGAGGAGGUUGCCGUGAGCCGAGAUCGCGCCAUUGCACUCCAGCCUGGGUAACAAGAGCGAAACUCCGUCUCAAAAAAAAAAAAAAAAAAGAAAACGUCAGCUGGGUAUAGUGGCACAUGCCUGUGGUCCCAACCAGAUGGCUGAAGUGGAUGGAGAGCUUCAACCUAGGAGGUCGAGGCUGCAGUGAGCUGUGGUCGUACCAUUGCACUCCACCCUGGGCGACAGAGUGAGACUCUCUCCAGAAGAAAAAAAAGAGAAAACUUACAGUUUGUAAAAAUUACAGCUUUGUCAUUCUAUAUGGAUAAACUUCAAAUGUCUUGCAAAAAAAAAAAAGCAAGUUACAAAAGAAUGGACAGUCUGAAACCGUCUGCAUGUAAUUUUAAAACACACAAAACAACUUAUUUAGAGAUGUGUAUGUUAAAAAUAUGAAAAAUACGGCCUGUGUCAUCCGCCAUUUUGUGAGAAGCAAGGUGGCCUCCACGUUUCCUGAGCGUCUUCUUCACUUCUGCCUCCACCGCCCCUUGACCACAGACAUGUCUCGGGAUCGGUUCCAGAGUCACGGCGGUGGUGGUGGUGGUUUCCACAGGCGCUGAGGAGGCGACGGCCGCGGAGGCCUCCACAACUUCUGUUCCCCGCCGCCCAGCAUGGGCUUCAAUCAGAACCGCGGCCCCAUGGGUCCUGGCCCGGGCCAGAGCGGCCCCAAGCCUCCGAUCCCACCACCGCCUCCACACCAACAGCAGCAGCAACCGCCACAGCAGCAGCAGCAGCCGCUGCCAACGCCGCAGGACUCUUGCAAGCCCAUUGUUGCUCAGGUACCCGGUCCUGCUCCCGGAGUAGGCAGCGCGCCGCCAGCCUCCAGCUCGGCCCCGCCCACCACUCCGCUGACCUCGGGGACCCAGCCAGGGUCCGGGCCAGGCCCGACCCGGACCCCGCUCACCGCGGUCACCUCGGCCCCUCCCCGGACGCCGCCACCCACCCCGCCAAGCACUGGGGUCCCUACCACACCUCCUCAGGCAGGAGGCUCGCCGCCUCCUCCCGCGACGGGCCGGGCCCAGGUCCGGGGACUAAGCAGGGCCCAGGCCCGGGCGGUCCCAAAGGUGGCAAAAUGCCUGGUGGGCCAAAGCCAGGUGGCGGUCCGGGCCUAAGCACUCCUGGAGGCCACCUGAAGCCGCCGCAACGAGGCGGCGGUGAGCGUCGCGGGGGCCACCAGCACCACCCGCCCUACCACCAGCAGCACUACCAGUGGCCCCCCGCCCGUUGGGCCCAGCGGCUGCAGCGAGGAGAAAAUCUCGGACUCGGAGGGGUUUUAAAGCCAACUUCUCUCUCUUGAGGAGGCCUGGAGAGAAAACUUACACACAGUGAUGUCGGUUAUUUGUUGGGAAUCUACCUGCUGAUAUCACGGAAGAUGAAUUCAGAAGACUAUUUGUUAAAUAUGGAGAACCUGGAAAAGAUUUAAUCAACAAAGGCAAAGGAUUCGGAUUUAUUAAGCCUGAAUCCAGAGCUUUGGCUGAAAUUGCCAAAGCUGAGCUCGAUGAUACGCCCAUGAGAGGUAGACAGCUUCGAGUUCGCUUUGCCACACAUGCUGCUGCCCUUUCUGUUCAUAAUCUUUCACCUUACGUUUCCAAUGAACUGUUGGAAGAAGCCUUCAGCCAGUUUGGUCCUAUUGAAAGGGCUGUUGUAAUAGUGGAUGAUCGUGGAAGAUCUACAGGGAAAGGCAUUGUUGAAUUUGCUUCUAAACCAGCAGCAAGAAAGGCAUUUGAACGAUACAGUGAAGAUGUUUUCUUGCUGACAACAACUCCUCGUCCAGUCAUCGUGGAACCACUUGAACAGCUAGCUGAUGAAGAUGGUCUUCCUGAAAAACUUGCGCAGAAGAAUCCGAUGUAUCAAAAGGAGAGAGAAACUCCUCGUUUUGCCCAGCAUGGCACAUUUGAGUACGAAUAUUCUCAGCGAUGGAAGUCGUUGGAUGAAAUGGAAAAACAGCAAAGAGAACAAAUGAAAAAAAUAUGAAGGAUGCAAAAGACAAAUUGGAAAGUGAAAUGGAAGAUGCCUAUCAUGAACAUAGGCAAAUCUUUUGCACCAAGAUCUGAUGAGACAACAGGAAGAAUUAAGACGCAUGGAAGAACUUCAUAAUCAAGAAAUGCAGAAACGUAAAGAAAUGCAAUUGAGGCAAGAGGAGGAACUACAUAGAAGAGAGGAAGAGAUGAUGAUUCGUCAGCGUGAGAUGAAAGAACAAAUGAGGCGCCAAAGAGAGGAAAGUUAUAGCCGAAUGGGCUACAUGGAUCCAAGAGAAAGAGACAUGAGAAUGGGUGGCGGAGGAGCAAUGAACAUGGGAGAUCCCUAUGGUUCAGGAGGCCAGAAAUUUCCACCUCUAGGUGGUGGUGGUGGUGGCAUAGGUUAUGAAGCUAAUCCUGGAGUUCCACCAGCAACCAUGAGUGGUUCCAUGAUAGGAAGUGACAUGCGUACUGAGCACUUUGGGCAGGGAGGUGCGGGGCCUGUGGGUAGACAGGGUCCUAGAGGAAUGGGGCCUGGAACUCCAGCAGGAUAUGGUAGAGGGAGAGAAGAGUACGAAGGCCCAAACAGAAAAACCCCGAUUUUAGAUGUGAUAUCUAGGCUUUCAUUCCAGUUUGUUUUGUCUUUUGUUUAGAUACCAAUCUUUUAAAUUCUGACAUUUUAGUAAGAAAGCUAUCUUUUUAUGGAUGUUAGUAGUUUAUUGACCUAAUAUUUGUAAAUGGUCUGUUUGGGCAGGUAAAAUUAUGUAAUGCAGUUGUUUGAAACAGGAUAAUUUUUUUUCUUACUUCCUUAUUUUUUCUUUUUUUACUGUAUAAUGUCCUUCAAGUUAUGGCAGUGUACCUUGUGCCACUGAAUUUCCAAAGUGUACCAAUUUUUCUUUUUUUACUGUGCUUCAAAUAAAUAGAAAAAUAGUUAU